rnacentral:rRNA from 1 species
UACGGGGGGGGCAAGCGUUGUUCGGAAUUACUGGGCGUAAAGGGCGCGUAGGCGGCCUUCUAAGUCGGACGUGAAAUCCCUCGGCUUAACCGAGGAACUGCGUCCGAUACUGAAAGGCUUGAAUCCGGGAGAGGGAUGUGGAAUUCCAGGUGUAGCGGUGAAAUGCGUAGAUAUCAGGAGGAACACCGGUGGCGAAGGCGGUGGUCUGGGCCGGCACUGACGCUGAGGAGCGAAAGCGUGGGUAGCAAACAGG